rnacentral:rRNA from 1 species
GAUGAAAGCUGGCGGCGUGCCUAAUACAUGCAAGUCGAGCGAACAGAUGAGGAGCUUGCUCCUCUGACGUUAGCGGCGGACGGGUGAGUAACACGUGGAUAACCUACCUAUAAGACUGGGAUAACUUCGGGAAACCGGAGCUAAUACCGGAUAAUAUAUUGAACCGCAUGGUUCAAUAGUGAAAGACGGUUUUGCUGUCACUUAUAGAUGGAUCCGCGCCGCAUUAGCUAGUUGGUAAGGUAACGGCUUACCAAGGCAACGAUGCGUAGCCGACCUGAGAGGGUGAUCGGCCACACUGGAACUGAGACACGGUCCAGACUCCUACGGGAGGCAGCAGUAGGGAAUCUUCCGCAAUGGGCGAAAGCCUGACGGAGCAACGCCGCGUGAGUGAUGAAGGUCUUCGGAUCGUAAAACUCUGUUAUUAGGGAAGAACAAAUGUGUAAGUAACUAUGCACGUCUUGACGGUACCUAAUCAGAAAGCCACGGCUAACUACGUG